GUGUGUGUGCGUGAGUGUGUGUUCUGUGUGUGUGGCCGUGAGAUGUGCGUGUGUGUGCUACGUGUGCGUGCGUGAGUGUGUGUUAUGUGUGUGUGGCCGUGAGAUGUGUGUGUGUGCGUGAGUGUGUGUGGCCGGCUCAAAUAGUAGACUAGUUUAGGGACUAAUUUAGUUAGUUAGUCUAAUUAGUAGUACUAGUUGAUUAGUCCAUUAGUAGAUGACAUGUGGACCCCCUGAUAGUUUACAGAAAAACAAAUUUUAAGAAAAGCCAAAGUCAAUGACAUGUGGCCCCUACAUUGUUCAUAUGUUGACUUGUCAAUAUUUGACUGGGUCAACCCAACCCCACUGACCCCACUCACAUACACUAUGGCUAGAAUAGCACUAGAUGACAAAAGUAUUUUGCUGUUUUAUUUUCAAAUUAAAAGAAUUCUGUAACUCGGAAAAUCAAUGAAAACUUUGCAAAUUAAUAUAAAAUAAACCGUACCUCGGAUGAAAAUACUUUAUACACGAAAGUUGCUCAGAACGACGAGACGAUCUCAAAUACGCAGUCCGUUCGUCCGUCACACGUCCCUAGCAUAGCGUACACGCGACUUUCCUCCUCCGAAUCAUCUGUCCGAAAACGCGAAACACCGGGGAUAUUUUCGCGGAUGUUUCCCCCCUUCACUGGUAUCACCUCAUACCGCGUUAGGUCACCUCUAGCACCACGUAUUGCCAUGUUAUGCUCUGUGAUGCUUUGAUUGCUCUGUUAUUUAUUGUGUUCCCCUCCGUUACUUCUUUCUGGUACACCCCGAGACCGUUGUCAGUAUCCCUGUGAUCGACUACAUCGACGACGAACCCUUCUUGCCAGAGCAACCAGGAAAGCCCCCCUUUGAUAACCAGAUAUCGCCUAUUCUUCUCUCUACUGCUUGCAUUAGAGUAGUGUAGCAUGUUACUGCUUGCCGUUAUCCUAUCCUGAUGCAUAGCUUGUCCUUGCUACUACUGUUGAUACCUUUACCUGCAAUCCUAAAUACUUAGUAUAGGAUGCUAGUGUUCCAUCAGUGGCCCUACACUCUUGUCUGUCUGCCAUGCUAUACUACUGGGCCGUGAUCACUUCAGGAGGUGAUCACGGGCAUAUGAUAUAUACUUAUACUGUUACAUUACUUAUGAUACGGUUCGGAGAUGGGGGCUGAAGGGGCAGGUGCCCUCCGUCCUGGUAGAGGUGGGCCUGGGUUCCCGACCGCCCCUGACUGUUACUUUGAGGCGGAGCGACAGGGCAAGUUGAGACCACCUAGGAGAGAGGUGGGCCAGGCCCUGGUCGGCGUUCGCGGAUACUUAACACGUUUAACGAGAUCUUGGUAUUUGAUCUGAGUCUGGCCACUGGCCUAUAUGCACUAACCAUCUACACGAGGACAGUUAUGGGCACUCGACGUCGUGGUAUCAGCCGAAGCCUUCGUGAUGUCAGCGACUGAGCGGCGCGCGCCAGGUUGGACUGGAACACCUGCUCUUGUAUAAGGGAGGCUAGGUCUGCUCACCGGCCGUGUACGCAACGUGCAGGUGUGCAAUGGGCGAUGGGCGCAGAGCCCAGCGCCAUAGGAUUUAGACCGGCGUGCUGACCUCUCUGUUGUGCCUAGGUAGGGCUGCGACGUGUUGAUCUUCCGAGGCCGGGCAUGACCCAGAAAAGUGUGUCCGGCCAAAUGGGAUCGAGCGUGUUGGGUUAUGUGGUGCACCCCUGCAGGGAAGUUAAUCUAUUCGAAUAGUCGUGAUCUUCGGUAACAGGAUGACUUGGAGUUGUACCUUGACCUUAUGACAACUAGAACCAGAUACUUAAUAAAACACACCAUUCCAAGUGCCAGAUACAACCGGUGAUCGCUCUCUCACAGGGCGAUGAGGGGAGGAUCAUCGGUUAGGAUUAUGCUACACGAUGCUACUUGGUGAACUUACCAUCUACUCUCUUCUCCUGCUGCAAGAUGGAGGUUACCAGAAGCGUAGUCUUCGAAAGGACUAGCUAUCCCCCUCUUAUUCCGGCAUUCUGUAGUUCAGUCCACAUAUGAUACCCUUAAUCCAUUGAAUACCAAUGCAUACAUAUGUAGUGUAGCUCCUUGCUUGCGAGUACUUUGGAUGAGUACUCACGGUUGCUUUGCUCCCUCUUUUCCCCCUUUCUAUACCCGAUUGCUGCGACCAGACAUUGGAGCCCAGGAGCCAGACGCCACUGUCGAUGACGACUACUACUACUCGGGAGGCGCCUACUACUACAUGCAGCCCGCUGACGACGACCAGGAGUAGUUUAGGAGGGUCCCAUGCAGGAGGCAUGCGUCUCUUUCGAUCUGUAUCCUAGUUUAUGCUAGCCUUCUUAAGGCAAACUUGUUUAUAUUAUGCCUGUGCUCACAGAUUGUUGCUUCCGCUGACUCGUCUAUGAUCGAGCUCUUGUAUUCGAGCCUUCGAGGCCCCUGGAUUGUAAUAUGAUGCCUGUAUGACUUUUUUUAUUUGUAGAGUUGUGUUGUGAUAUCUUCCCUUGAGUCCCUGAUCUUGAUCAUACACAUUUGCAUGUAUGAUUAGUGUAUGAUUGAAUCAGGGGCAUCCCAAGUUGGUAUCAGAGCCAACUGCCUGUAGGAAUCCCCCUCCACACUCCUUGGCCGAAGUCGAGUCUAGUCAUUACAAAAGUUUUACUAACAUGGAUGUGUGUCUUACGAGCCCACGUCGCCAUCUGGGUGAUAUUAGGAUCUUUUAUUCCUCAACCUAUACUCUGGGACUCUGAUCUCUUUUCUAUUCAGGUUAAAUGAUUUUUACUAACGCCGGCUCUAGGUUCUCGUAACUACUUCCUCCUGGAGAGCCCCUCACUCCCGAUGAUCACUUGCUGCACCAGAAGAUUCCGAAGAUACUCUAGGAAGUUCUCUCGAGCUUUGUGCCCACUUCUUUUGCAAUUCGCUACCACCGACAAAUCCUUAUGGAUAACUUCUUACCCUUGCCAUUCUUACAUUCAUCCCUAGCUUCUCUUGUUAUUACAAGAUGCAUCGAAUUGUUCUUUGACUUUUAAGAAUCUCUUGAGCCAUUGCAUUGCAGAUCUUUGCCACCUGAAUACCCCUACGGAUAAUUCUUGCACUUACUGAGUAUCCAUUCAUCCCCAAUUGUUCAUAUGUUUCACCAAAGUCUUCGAAAUACUAUUUGAUCUUCCGAAAACCCUCAGCAGCUUAUUGCUCUUGAAAUUCUUGCUUGCUUGCAUUAUGGUUAAUCCCAUAAGUAUUGUAAUCUUAUUGGCAUCCUUUGCCACUAUCAUUUUGAGCCCAUUGAUUCAAUAAGUGCGAAUGCUCGCAAUCCUCAACCAGAUGCUAUUCAUCCUUCCGACUUAGGCACCAUUUUAAACAUGAGCUGGAUCUCGACCAAUCAAUUUGCCAUCGAUUGUACCCCUAAGGCUAUACAACUUAUCCAUCCCUAAUCAGAGCAUUGCUUCUGAUCCCUUGUCUUGGAAUUCGUAAUUCCUAUGCAAUUGAGCUUUGAGUUACUCAGUUGUUUCUAUCAUCUGAUCCCCUUGCAUUCUUUCUUCUUUUAGUAGAGUACCGAUACUCACAUCAGCUCCGUUGUGGAUCGUCAGAUCCAUUGUUGGAUUUCAUCCGACAUCGUCCUUAAUAUUCAAUAACCAUGUGAGCCUUUCCACGGGUAUAUAAUGCCUUUGGUAAACUGUAUCCUCUGCCUUGGCCAACCAUGCUCUACUUUCGAGCUGGUGAUAUUUACUCUUGAAACUUGAGGUAUAUGUUUCGAAGAUAUCUCGAUGGGUUGAACCUUAUGCCUUCCUUAAUCUGUGUGAACCCGAAAACUUUUCACGGGUCAUACUCCUCUAGUAAUUCACCCGGUAGGUUUUCACACUGAAAUCAUUUUUUUGCAGUGAAUGAAAGGUUAUGCAUUGGAGGAGUGGGAGUCGACCUUGAACUUUGUGUUCAUACCCAAGGACACGAUGUAGAUCUUACCAUUAAAGCUUCUCUUAAAUUAAAUUAUUCCCUUGGUAUAAGCUCAUCUUAUAUCUGGGAUCUGGCCUUUUUGCAAUCGUGGUUCCGACCACAUUUUCUCCUUAAUUCCAUUUCUCAAACAAGUUAAAAUACUUGUCUUCGAUUGAUCGAUACUUCUCCACAACCUCUAUUUUGAUCUUCCUUCGAGUAUUGCCCUCCGGUAUCUCGAGAAUAUCAAAGAACUGUGCUGCUUCCUAUGAGUCUUCAUCUAGUAUUGCUUCUCGCCGUUUUCAGAUUUUCCCCGGGUUCUGAGUUAUUAGUCACUCGAGAACACCGAUAAGUGAAUUGAUUCCGCACUACAAUUCAAUAACUCUAAGUAAUUCUCGUUGCUUACGAGUUUAAUAAUCCUUCAAGUCAUUCCUAGCCUGAUUGGCUAUAUCAUUAUCGUGCUGAUUUUAACUGUGCUACCUGGUCCUUAUUCCCGGAGUACAACUUUCGACGAUGAGCUAAGCUUACGUCGAUCUUCCUCAUCAUAUCAUUUUGCCUUGAUUAGCAAGCUUGAUUUCGAGUUUGUGUCGUACUCGUGGUUCCAAUAACCUUUCGCUUCAUCAUUCCUUUAGCUUGAUGUCAUGCCUAGCACACCUGACCAGAGGACCUGUUGUUAUAGUUUCAUUUUUAACAAGGUUAACCAUUCUUCCAUGAGGAAAUUGUAAGACUUAUUCUACAAGUUGUUCCUGAUGAAUCCCUUCGUGUAUCCAGAGUCUGACAUUUGCUUGAAGACCAUGUCAAUGCUAUCUCGAAGCAUGUCUGAGGUACUCCAAUUUUCAAAGAGAACAUUUGAAGCCCAAUGCUAAAUGUUUCCUGCUCAAUUACCCAAACACUAUAUGGUAAUGUCAUGAAAUCCCCCCCCCCCUUACCUAAAUGGUUUUCUACAUUAUAUCCUAUCAAGGAAAUCAUGCUUUGCUUGUCCUUGGGAAGAAUAUACCCUUGAAAUAUGUGUUUAAACACAUGUUCCUUUCCAUUGUUCUGUUUAAACCUGAUAAUCACUUUCCCUUUCCAUUGGUUUGUUUAAACCUUCUUGUGAUCUAUAUUGUAUAAGCAGUAAUAUAUCACUGCUUAUGUAAACACCUCGUUGUACCACUCUGUUAGAAAGACCCUGUUACCUUUGUUGAUGAAAUUUCGGUAACACCGAUGGACAAGAACUUUGCCUAUUGGUCCGCCUCGUUCAACGAGCAGGAAAAUGGUUCUCUUUAUCCCUCACCCUUGGUACCGACGUUGUUGCUGACAUAACUGAUAGGCUACCCUCUGACAUGCCUUGCCAUCAUGACCGUGCAAGAUGUCACCGCACUUCCUACAUUUAACCCACAUGGUGGGCCCAUAACCCAUAGUUCCACAGGUUCAAAACCUGACUCCUGUACACCCCUAUUCCCAAGGUUGUUCCUCGCACGUGGCAUCGUAUGUAAUUCAUGAGCCACCUUUUGAGGGAUCAUCAAUUAUGGUAUCCAACACAAUACUUAUCCCCGUUGCUUUGAACCCCUUUCACGCCCUGUUUCAGGCAUCGAACGAUUUCCUACUCGCUUGAAACUUUUUAUGGUACUGAGGGAGUCCUGGAUUAGGGGGUGUUCCGGUAGCCGGACUAUACCUUCAGCCGGACUCCUGGACUAUGAAGAUACAAGACUGAAGACUUCGUCCCGUGUCCGGAUGGGACUUUCCUUAGCGUGGAAGGCAAGCUUGGCGAUGCGAUAUUCAAGAUCUCCUACCAUUGUAACCGACUCUGUGUAACCCUAACCCUAUCCGGUGUCUAUAUAAACCGGAGGGUUGUAGUCCGUAGGCAAUCAACUCCAUACACAACAAUCAUACCAUAAGCUAGCUUCUAGGGUUUAGCCUCCUUGAUCUCGUGGUAGAUCUACUCUUGUACUACCCAUAUCAUCAAUAUUAAUCAAGCAGGAGUAGGGUAUUACCUCCAUCGAGAGGGCCCGAACCUGGGUAAAACAAAGUGUUCCCUGCCUCCUAUUACCAUCCGGCCUUGACGCACAGUUCGGGACCCCCUACCCGAGAUCCGCCGGUUUUGACACCGACAUUGGUGCUUUCAUUGAGAGUUCCUCUGUGUCGUCGCUUUUAGGCCCGAUGGCUCCUUCGAUCAUCAACAACGAUGCAGUCUAGGGUAAGACUUUUCUCCCCGGAUAGAUCUUGGUCUUCGGCAGCUUCGCACUGCGGGCCAAUUCGCUUGGCCACCUUGAGCAAAUCGAAAGCUACACUCCUGGCCAUCAGGUCAGGUUUGGAAGCCUAAACUACACGGCUGACAUCCGCGAGGACUUGAUCUUCGACGGAUUCGAGCCACAGCCAAGCGCGCCACACUGUCUCGAUGGGCAUGAUAUAACUCUGCCACCGAACAGCGCCUUGGAGGCCGCACACGCAUCGGUUCCGACCAUUGAUUCGGAGCCUACUGCACCGAUCGAGGAUCAGCGGUUGGACGCUGCCUCAGGGGCUGCGAUCUCAGAGGCGAUUGAGCCGAACUCCAGCCCCGCACUCCGCAUGGCCCGUGACUCCGAGGAGCCAGAUUCCUCUCCGAGCUCCGAGCCCCCCGCGCCCCUGCCGAUCGAAUCCGAUUGGGCACCGAUCAUGGAGUUCACCGCCGCGGACAUCUUUCAGCACUCGCUCUUCGGCGACAUCCUGAAUUCUCUAAAGUCUCUCUCUUUAUCAGGAGAGCCCUCGCCGUACUAUGGUCAGCAAGGUUGGGAUACGGACGACGAAGAAAUUCAAAGCCCACCCACCACCCACUUCGUAGCCACUUUCGACGACUUAACCAACACGCUGGACUUCGACUCCGAAGACAUCAACGACAUAGACGACGAUGCAGGAGACGAACAAGAACCAGCACCUGUAGGGCGCUGGAAGGCCACCUCAUCAUAUGACAUAUAUAUGGUGGAUACUCCAAAAGAUGGAGAUGGCGAUGGAACAGUGGGGGAUGAUGCCCCCAAGAAACAGCAAAAGCGCCAGCGUCAGCGGCGCCGCUCUAAAUCCCGCCAAAGCAAAAACGGUGAUUCCGGCACGGGAGAUAAUACUACCCCGGAUAGCGCCGAAGAACACCCACCUCAGCAAAAUUCGGCAUAGGAAGAUGGAGAAACCAGCCCUCAUGAAAGAGUGGCAGACCGAGAGGUCGAGGAUGAUAACUAUACGCCUCCCUCCGAAGACGAGGCUAGCCUCGAUGACGACGAAUUUGUCAUACCAUCAGACCCCGCCGAACAAGAGCGUUUUAAACGCAGGCUUUUAGCCAUGGCAAGCAGCCUCAAGAAAAAGCAGCAAUAGCUUAGAGCUGCGCAAGAAUUGCUAGCUGACAGAUGGACUGAAGACCUUGCGGCCGAAGAGUAUGAACUCGAACGCUCCUCCAAGAGUUACCCGAAGCGCAGGCCGCUACCCCGAUCAGAGGAGGAAGCACCUACAUCACCAGCGCAUGACAUGGCAGACCGGCCACCUCGCGGUCGCGACAGAGAGGCCUGUCGGCCCUCCACCCAAGCCAUGCCCCGACGCCGCUCAACUAAGCCACGGGAAAAUGCACCCGACCUGCAAGACAUACUGGAGGAUAAGGCAAGACAAACCAGAUCGAUCUACGGAUCGCGUAGGCGCCCUAUGGCAUGUGACAAUGAUCUUCACUCCGGAUACAACAAAUCCGGCCGGGCCGAACACAACAGACAUAGCUCUUCCGAGGUGCAUCGUGAUAUAGCCCAGUACAGAGGGGCCGCACACCCGCUAUGCUUCACGAAUGAAGUAAUGGACAUAAAAUCCCAGAGGGCUUCAAACCUGUAAACAUCGAAUCAUACGAUGGCACAACAGACCCGGCGGUAUGGAUCGAGGAUUAUCUCCUUCACAUCCACAUGGCACGCGGCGAUGAUCUACACGCCAUCGAAUACCUCCCGUUCAAACUUAAAGGACCGGCCCGGCAUUGGCUUAACAACUUGCCAGCAGACUCAAUCGGUUCUUGGGAGGACCUGGAAGCCGCAUUCCUCGACAACUUCUAGGGCACUUACGUGCGACCGCCGGAUGCCGACGACUUAAGCCACAUAAUUCAGCAGCCAGAGGAAUUGGCAGACAAUUCUGGACACGGUUCCUAACAAAGAAAAACCAGAUAGUCGACUAUCCGGACGCAGAGGCCCUAGCAGCCUUCAAGCAUAACAUCCGCGACGAGUGGCUUGCCCGGCACCUGGGACAGGAAAAGCCGAAAUCCAUGGCAGCCCUCACGACACUCAUGACCCGCUUUUGCGCGGGAGAAGACAACUGGCUAGCUCGCAGUAACAACUUAUCAAAGAACCCUGGUAAUUCGGACACCAAGGACAAAAGUGGCAGGACACGUCGGAAUAAGCAAAAACGCCGCGUCAAUAGCGACAGCAAUGAAGACACGGCAGUCAAUGCCGGAUUCAAAGGCUAUAAAUCCAGUCAUCGGAAAAAGCCAUUCAAAAAGAAUACUCAGGGCCCGUCCACUUUGGACCGAAUACUCGAUCACUUGUGCCAGAUACAUGGCACCCCCGAAAGGCCAGCCAAUCACACUAACAGGGAUUGUUGGGUGUUCAAGCAGGCAGGCAAGUUAAGGGCCGAAAACAGAGACAAGGGGCUGCACAGCAACGACGAGGAGCCCAAGCCGCCGAACAACAAUGGACAGAAGGGCUUUCCCCCACAAGUGCGGACGGUGAACAUGAUAUACGCAACCCACAUUCCCAAGCGGGAGCGAAAGCGUGCGCUAUGGGACGUAUACGCGAUAGAGCCAGUCGCCCCAAAGUUCAACCCAUGGUCCUCCUGCCCGAUCACUUUUGAUCGAAGGGACCAUCCCACUAGCAUCCGUCAUGGCGGCUUCGCCACAUUGGUUCUCGACCCAAUCAUCGACGGAUUUCACCUCACAAGAGUCCUCAUGGACGGCGGCAGUAGCCUGAACCUGCUUUAUCAGGAUACAGUGCGGAAAAUGGGCAUAGAUCCCUCAAGGAUUAAGCCCACAAGAAAGACCUUUAAAGGCGUCAUACCAGGUGUAGAAGCCAACUGUACAGGCUCAGUAACACUUGACGUGGUCUUCGGAUCCCCGAACAAUUUCCGAAGCGAAGAGUUAAACUUCGACACAGUCCCGUUUCGCAGUGGCUAUCACGCCCUUCUCGGACGAACCGCAUUCGCAAAGUUCAACGCGGUGCCGCACUACGCAUAUCUCAAGCUCAAGAUGCCAGGCCCUCAAGGAGUAAUUACGGUCAACGGAAACACCGAACGCUCCCUUCAUACGGAGGAGCAUACGGCGGCUCUCGCAGCGGAGGUACAAAGUAGCCUUCUCAGGCAAUUCUCUAGUCCGGCCAUUAAAAAGCCAGACACUGCCAAGCGCGCCCGGAGUAAUCCACAGCAGGACUGCCUGGCACGCUCUGAGCAAGCGUAGCAAUGCGGCCCCAACCCCAGCUUUCGCAAUAUAGCGAAACCAGUACCUCGCGUACAUAACUACGCCCUGGAAAUACCAUGGGCACAGGGGAAGGGGCACAAUAACGGCACACCCAAAAUACGGCCUAAAACAUACUAGGGGCUGCCGGAUUCUUUUUUUAAUUUUUCUUACUUUCAGGACUCCAUACUUCGGAUGACCUGUUCGGCAAUUCGACUGCCGCACAAACGAUGCAAGAUCCAGGGAGGCAGACAAGCCAUGCACAUUAUGGAAUCCCAGGUGGUCUCUGUUACGAGCGCUAUACCUGUUUUAAAUACAAUUCCGCGGCCUACCCCUGGUCAGGACAUACUGAAUAGUCCAAUAUCUUCUUCUUACCGCACUAUUUGUAUCGUUCGGCUUUGUUAAAUAGCCUCUCUAUAAACAAUGCUUAGCUUUUUGUCUAUUUUUUGCAUUACUCUCUUUUAUAUAUGUUCAUUAAUGACAUGUUGCACCCGUACACUGUGGUAUGGCAAGUACGCCAGGGGCUUCAGUACCCUUUAAUAUGGUGUGAGAAGCCCGUACACUUUCACAAGUGCGGCACCCCGAACUUAUAGCACUAUAUGCAUCGGCUCUGAAUCAUGAUUUGGGUCAAUAGUUGGGUUUGCCCAGCUCCUAUGUUUUGCUGCCUUACGUUCCGCUAUAUCGGCUAAGGUAGCACUAGGAGAACCACUGCGAUUGUGCCCCGGUUGAGCUGGGUUAAGCACCUCAGUGGAGAAAGCUAAAACUAACUGUCAUGAUGAGGCGAGAGACCGGUCGCUGUUCGAGAGGUUUUUCGAGUCCCUAAAGACUUAUGCCACUUCGAGCGAGGAGCUGGAUAACCCCAGCCAAGGCGUGGAUAGCGCCCCGAACUCAGUCUUCCGAACUAGGGGCUUUGCCGAAAUUUAAAAUUAUAAAGUUCUAUGGCUAAGUGAGAGUGUUCAAGCAUUAUAGUCCGAUUGCCUGGUUCGUCAUGCUGAGCGCCUCCCUCGAAGGACCCAAACAUGGGAAAAAGAGCGCACAGGUUUAUCACCGAACACCCCAGCACUAGUGGCAUGGGGGCAGAAGCCGACGACUGGCCAUCUCUCAAUUUUUGAUAAACGGCCGCACAGAAAAUAAUAUUUUAAAUUCAAUAAGCAUUGCUUAGCGCAUAUGAACAAGUUUUCAGCGCAUAGGAUAAAAUCGAGCGAGUUCAUUCAAAAAUUACAUCCUUGGUACACUCAUCCACUACAAGGCGGGCACCCGCAAGAACGUCCUUAUAGUAGUUCUCGGGCUUGCGAUGCUCCUUCCCCGGCGGCGGCCCGUCCCUAACAAGCUCCUCACCGUCCAGCUUACCCCAGUGCACCUUUGCACAGGCAAGGGCCCUACGGGCACCUUCGAUGCAGAUGGAGCGCUUGAUGACCUCAAGCCUUGGACAGGCCUCCACCAGCCGCCGCACCAGCCCGAAGUAGCUCCCAGGCAGGGCCUCUGCGGGCCACAGCCGAACUAUGAAGCCUUCAUGGCCUGUUCGGACGCCUUGUGGAGCUCGACCAGCUGUUUCAGCUGGUUGCUCAAGGCCACAGGGUGUCCGGCCUCAGCAUACUGAGACCAGAAAACCUUCUCCGUCGAGCUGCCCUCUUCAGCUUAGUAGAAUGCGGCGGCAUCGGAUACGCUGCGGGGAAGAUCUACGAAUGCCCCUGGAGAGCUCUGGAUUCGGGUAAGUAACAAGUAGUUUACUUUUAUAUUUCUGCUUUGCAUGAAGAAUGCCUUACCCACUGCUAUCUUUUUCACCUCCUCCAACUCUUGGAGGGCCUUUUGGGCUUCGGCCUUGGCAGACUUGGCAGUCUCAAGGGCCGUCGCGAGCUCGGACGCUUGGGUCUUUGACUCAAGCUCCAAACUGUCAUGUUUUUUCAUGAGAGCCUAAAGCUCUUGCUGCACCUCGCCAACUUGAGCCCCAAGUUUCUCUCGCUCAGUGCGCUCCGCGGCUGUUUUCUUUUCGGCCUCAGAUAGCGCCUACUUGAGGGUCGCCACCUCAGUCGUGGCCCCUACAAUAAGCAGCACAAUCCUGGUUUUUUUUUGCAAUCACGCCUCUCUAUAGGCACCUUUUUCUAUAAGGUAUUUCGUACCUUCUUUCUCCUCGAGCUGCCGCUUAGCAAGGCCGAGCUCUUGCUUGGUCCGCUCGAGGUCCUGUUUCAGGACACCCACCUCCGCAGUCAGUGCAGCAGUGGAUAGCAGCGAAGCCUGCAUACGCAUAUUGACUCUUUAUUGUUAGACUCCUACGAAAUUUAAUAGAUCCUCUAUUCGGCUUUUCUUUCCGAACGCCAAACAGAGCAUCAGGGGCUACUGUCUAUGCGGUAAUAUUUUUACAUAUUUUUUACUUACCUCGAAGCCUGUUAGGAGGCUAGCACAAGCUUCACUCAGUCCGCUUUUGGCGGACUGAACCUUCUGGAUCACCGUACUCAUAAUAGUACGAUGCUCCUCGUCGAUGGAGGCGCCUUCAAGCACCUCCAGCAGAUUGUCCGGCACCUUCGGUUGGACGGAGGCUGCCGGCUCAGAAGGCUUGCUUCUCUUGGGAGGAGUUCGCCUGCCGCGGUCCGGAAUCGUUGAAGGUUCCGGCACGGUGUCCGGCUCAAAGCCGGACUUGGAGCCCUGGGGGGUCUUGUCCCCUUUACUCCUGGAGUUCGGGAGGUCGCCUUGCGGCUCCUCCAGGACCACCUCCUCCUGCCCCGGAGCUCGUUGCAACUCCACUUCGGCAUCGUCCGCGGUGUGGGGGGAGAUAGCGGGCGGAACUGAGUUCACGUCCGAUGAAUCUAGGGAGCCGCUCGGCGACUCGUUGAGUUUGGCCCGGGGCGGGCUGCAUGAUUAUAUUCGACAUUAGGUAAAGUUGUGCAACGAAAGGAAUAUCAUGAGUUACUCUGGUAUCUGAACACUUACGAUUUCGCCGGACGCCUGGCCCUGUCCGGCCACUCCUCUUCGUCCUCGUCGGCGUCGGGGGCGUAGUCCGGCGGAGGGGUUUUCCUUUUCUUGGACCCUUCGGCCUUCCCCCUUGGGGCGGCCUUCCUUUUCUUUCCUCCCUCCGCUGGGAGGGGAGAGUUUUCUUCUUCCUCCUCCUCGUUUUCACGGGAGGAGGGCGUCUCGGACUCGUCGGAUGACGAGAACGACAACACCACAUUGCGGGUACUCCUUUGAGUCCCCGUGGUCUUCUUCUUCUUGGCCUUCUUUUCCGGCACCACAUAAGGCGCCGGAGCCAGCAGCUUCAAUAGUAGAGCUGGGGCUGGCUCUUCGGGCAGCGGAGCCGGAUAGUUAAUCGGUCCGGAUACCGCCCGCCAAGCCUGUCAAAGGUAAGGGAGUUUAGAUCCCGCAUAGAGUUAAACUAUGAAAAAAAAGCUGAACAUCCUGUAAAAGGUGAAAAUAGCUUACCUCGCUAGCGUGACGCUGCGAGCUGUAUCCGCGGUCCUCGGAGGCGGAUGCGGGAGCCUCGACACCUUUGAUUAGCACCUUCCAGACAUCUUCAUACGUCGUGUCGAAGAGCCUAUUAAGGGUUCGGUGCUGUGCCGGGUCGAACUCCCACAGAGUAAAGUCCCGUUGUUGGCACGGGAGGAUUCGGCGAACGAGCAUGACCUGGACUACAUUUACAAGCCUGAUUGACUUGUUUACUAGGGACUGGAUGCAUGUCUUCAGUCCGGUCACCUCUUCCUCGUUACCCCACGAUAGGCCCGUCUCUUUCCAGGAUAUGAGCCGCGUGGGGGGUCUGGAUCGGAACUUGGGGGCUGCGAUCCAUUUCGGAUCGCGUGGCUCGGUGAUGUAAAACCACCCGGCUUGCCACCCCUUUAGGGUCUCUACGAAGGAGCCCUCGAACCACAGGACGUUGGCAAUCUUGCCCGCCAUGGCGCCUCCGCACUCCGCCUGGUUGCCGCACACCACCUUGGGCUUGACGUUGAAGGUCUUGAGCCAGAGGCCGAAAUGGGGGCGGACGCGGAGGAAAGCCUCGCACACGACGAUAAACGCCGAGAUGUUGAGGAUGAAGUUCGGGGCCAGAUCGUGAGAAUCUAGGCCGUAGUAGAACAUGAGCCCCGGACGAAUGGGUGAAGUGGAAAACCCAGUCCACGGAGGAAGUGGGGAAGAAAUACUACCCUCUCAUGGGGCCUUGGGGUGGGGAGGAGCUGCCCCUUCUCGGGAAGCCGGUGCGCGAUGUCUUUGGACAAGUAUCCGGCCUUCCUAAGCUUUUUUACGUCGCCCUCCGUGACGGAGGAGACCUUCCACUUGCCUCCCGCUCCGGACAUCGCUAGAGAAGGUUGAGGUGGGAAGUGCAGGCUUGGGCGCUGGAGCUCGAGUGCGCAGGAGAUGGAUAGGCAAAGGAGGAAGAAGGCGUAGGAAAAAAGGUGGAUCCUUAUCCCCUUAUAUGGGCGGAUGCGGUUAUGCCUCCCCACCUGCCUAAUAAAACUCGCUUGCCUCCCAAGCGCCGUGGUAAAUGGCGCGGUUAGGGUUACCCACGUCCGUAUUGAUGAGAAUCCCGUAAAAAGGGCACACGAUCUCUGCUUUGACGAGAGUGCCAAGGAAACCGCCUCGCAAAACAGGCUGAGGUGGAAAAGUAAAAACGAUUCGAGUAAAGGACUUGGCCAUAGUGUGAUAGCGCACUGCGGAAUACGUCAACAGAUUUGAUUUGUGUUAAUAUUAUUCUCUCUAUGGCAAUAUGUGGAAGCUUAUUUUGCAGAACCGGACACUACUCUUGGUGUUUACAAUCUUCUACGAAGGACUUGGAGGAGGAACCCGCCUUGCAAUGCCGAAGACAAUUUGCGCGACGGACUCGUCAUUGAAGCCUGGUUCAGGGGCUACUGAGGGAGUCCUGAAUUAGGGGGUGUUCGGGUAGCCGGACUAUACUUUCAGCCGGACUCCUGGACUAUGAAGAUACAAGACUGAAGACUUCGUCCCGUGUCCGGAUGGGACUUUCCUUAGCGUGGAAGGCAAGCUUGGCGAUGCGAUAUUCAAGAUCUCCUACCAUUGUAACCAACUCUGUGUAACCCUAACCCUAUCCGGUGUCUAUAUAAACCGGAGGGUUGUAGUCCGUAGGCAAUCAACUCCAUACACAACAAUCAUACCAUAGGCUAGCUUCUAGGGUUUAGACUCCUUAAUCUCGUGGUAGAUCUACUCUUGUACUACCCAUAUCAUCAAUAUUAAUCAAGCAGGAGUAGGGUAUUACCUCCAUCGAGAGGGCCCGAACCUGGGUAAAAUAAAGUGUUCCCUGCCUCCUGUUACCAUCCGGCCUUGACGCACAGUUCGGGACCCCCUACCCGAGAUCCGCCGGUUUUGACACCGACAGGUACCUUUCUUACUUAGCUCUCGGUGUUUUCUUAAGUUUCAGUUCAAGAGUUACUUUCCGCCACCUUCUCGAUGUAAUCGACCAGAUAGUCAACCUUGCAGAGGUCCGUUCUUCCGAAGUUACCCCUGGUCCUUUCAUAAGUACGAUGAAAUUUCCGAAGAAAGGAUGAUGACAUGAAGCAGAGAUAUGAAGACAUCAAUGCUAUGGAUCGACCUCUUUGAGAAGGGCAGCCUAGGCCGAGAAGACUCGUUAGAAUUUCGUAACCAAAUCUUUUCCCCAUUAGUCCCUCUCUUAUAUCUCGAGACGAGAUUUCUUGUAGUGGAGGAGAAUUGUGACGCCCAGAUAAUUAAGCUACAGUAACUCCACGCUAAAGAUGCCAAGUCAGCAUGCUUACUAAGCUAAUUGCCCUUUGAUUGAAAACGAAUUAAAAUUCAAAAUUAAAUUGCAAGUCAAAGUUAUACUUGUCAAAAAAUGCAAACAAAAUAGUUAAGGCCUUUCGAAAAUAAUCUAAAACCCUGUGGAUAGUUCCACAAUAUUACAAAGUAUUUAUGAGACAAGUUUCUUAUGUAACAAAUUUAUUUGGAUCUAAAACAAAUCAAAACAGAAAGUUUAAAAGAAAAGAAAAUGAAGAAAUGCUAGACACUUAGGCCUACUACUACAGGAGGAGGCCCAACCCACGUCCACGUCUCCUGCUACCUCUCGCUACAGUGGGAGCAGGGGGAUCGGGCGGCCAUCCACGCCUCCCUGGUCGCCGUGUCGAGCAUCCAGUACCUCCACGAGGAGGAUAAGGUCACCCCGACCCAGUAGACGAAAACCCUAGCCCCAAAUCCUUCUGCCUCUCUCUCUCUUUCGAUUCAGAAGUUUGCCCGAGAGCUACUUGUCAUGGACAUCGUCGUCGUCGCGGCCACCGACUCCCCCGGCGCCUGAAAAGUUGUCCAGGAGUUGCACCAUGGACGUCUCCUUCGGCUACUUCUACUGGUUCGAGCGGGGAAGCACUGCAUCGCGGGGAUCGAUGCGUCUUCCUCGCCUACAGGCGCCGUUGCCCCGCGCCCGAUCUACCUCACCGAAGCUCCUCCGCCCUGCCGGAUGCUCCCUCGGCCUUCCCCUGUGAGCUCCACCCCCAUUCCCCUUGAUCCCCCCUCUGUUCGUUGCUCUAUUGCGCCGCCCAAGUUUCGGCCGAUGGCCACGGUCACCGCGACCACGUUACGCUCACCGCGCCCGCGCCCUACAUCCUGGCCGCCUAGUGCGCGCCGUGGCCGUGCCGACACGCCCUAUGUCCACAGCACAUGCCACUCGGCCUGCGCCCUGACCGGCGCCCGACCGUGCUCGCGCAUGGCCGCGCCCGUCCGCUGCCGCGCUGCUGCUUCCGGCCGCCGCUGCCGCUGCUUUGUUUUAGCUGCUGUCGCUGCCUUGUUCUGUUACUUGCAGCGGGGCUGCUCUGCUUGCCACUGCGUGCACUCCCGCUUGCUGCGGCCUACUGAGUUGCUGCUUGCCUCGCGCCCAUGGCUGCUACUGCCGUCGGCUGCUGUUGUUGGAGCUGGCCAUGGCGCUGUGUGUGUGGCCGUGAGAUGUGCGUGUGUGUGCUAUGUGUGUGUGCGUGAGUGUGUGUUCUGUGUGUGUAUGGCCGUGAGAUGUGCGUGUGUGUGCUAUAUGUGUGUGCGUGAGUGUGUGUUAUGUGUGUGUGGCCGUGAGAUGUGCGUGUGUGUGUGCUAUGUGUGUGUGCGUGAGUGUGUGUUAUGUGUGUGUGGCCGGCUCAAAUAGUAGACUAGUUUAGGGACUAAUUUAGUUAGUUAGUCUAAUUAGUAGUACUAGUUGAUUAGUCCAUUAGUAGAUGACAUGUGGACCCCUGAUAGUUUAUAGAAAAACAAAUUUUAAGAAAAGCCUAAGUCAAUGACAUGUGGCCCCUACACUGUUCAUAUGUUGACUUGUCAAUAUUUGAUUGGGUCAACCCAACCCCACUGGCAUACACUAUGGUUAGAAUAGCACUAGGUGACAAGUAUUUUGCUGUUUUAUUUUCAAAUUAAAAGAAUUCUGUAACCCGGAAAACCAAUGAAAACUUUGCAAAUUAAUAUAAAAUAAAUCGUAC
rnacentral:lncRNA from 1 species